rnacentral:lncRNA from 1 species
GUAACAAGAAAGAGAGAACCCUGUGGAGAAGACCAACAAGGAGAAACGAAGAUGCAGGAUAAAGAAGGUAUUCUCUCUGAGAGAGUUGAGGAGCCAAAGCUAAAGUCCAAAUACCUAAGCCUAGGACAAGAGCCCGGAGGCUCCAACUUCCUCAUGAAGAGAUUACAGAAAGGGAAAAGGUACUUUGUCUCAGGAGACUACAACAUGGCCAAAGCCAAGAUGAAGAGUAAGCAGCUUCCAAGUGCAGAACCAAAGAAGAACCUGGUGACUGGUGACCACAUUCUGCCCCACAGAAAGUCCUUGGUUAUCACCAGCAAGCUUGCAGGGUAA